CUCACCGCGAGGAGCCGGAUGCAGUGGUCGGCGGAAGGGGCCUGCACACACCCGACGGGCGGCUGGAUCCCUGCGGCUCCGAAGGCCUUGCUCAGAUGAGGAUGUUUUGCCAACGCUGAGGUAGCCAUAUUUGCGGUGGAAUGAAGAAAAGAGCUGAUAGCGGAAAGCCACAAAGUAAUCACUGUGUAACUCUGGUUAAGACAUGGGGAUCUCUGGGCUUGUUUUACUGCAUGUAAAUGAAGAGUAUUCAAGACAGAAUUUUGGAAG